rnacentral:rRNA from 1 species
UGGGGAAUAUUGCACAAUGGGCGCAAGCCUGAUGCAGCCAUGCCGCGUGUGUGAAGAAGGUCUUCGGAUUGUAAAGCACUUUAAGUUGGGAGGAAGGGCAUUAACCUAAUACGUUAGUGUUUUGACGUUACCGACAGAAUAAGCACCGGCUAACUCUGUGCCAGCAGCCGCGGUAAUACAGAGGGUGCAAGCGUUAAUAGGAAUUACUGGGCGUAAAGCGCGCGUAGGUGGUUUGUUAAGUUGGAUGUGAAAUCCCCGGGCUCAACCUGGGAACUGCAUUCAAAACUGACUGACUAGAGUAUGGUAGAGGGUGGUGGAAUUUCCUGUGUAGCGGUGAAAUGCGUAGAUAUAGGAAGGAACACCAGUGGCGAAGGCGACCACCUGGACUAAUACUGACACUGAGGUGCGAAAGCGUGGGGAGCAAACA